rnacentral:rRNA from 1 species
UUGGGUUAAGUCCCGCAACGAGCGCAACCCUUAUCCCCUAGUUGCCAUCAGGUAAAGCUGGGAACUCUGGGGAGACUGCCGGUGAUAAACCGGAGGAAGGCGGGGAUGACGUCAAGUCCUCAUGGCCCUUACAUCCCGGGCUACACACGUGCUACAAUGGCAGGUACAGAGGGCUGCGAAGCCGCGAGGUGGAGCGAAUCCCAGAAAACCUGUCUCAGUCCGGAUUGAAGUCUGCAACUCGACUUCAUGAAGGCGGAAUCGCUAGUAACCGCGAAUCAGCAGGUCGCGGUGAAUACGUUCCCGGGCCUU